UGCAAAACUCUGAGCUACCAAGGGAGCUGGGUGCACCAGCUCUGGAAUCAGUUAUAUUAGAACGCAGGCCCAUUCGAGAACUGGAAAUGUAUCUAAAGUGGAAAGCAGUCAGACGAGCAACGGUAUACUUACCCAAAAUUAACACCGUGCUUUCAAACAAGGCAGCUUAAUCACAACAAGAAGCAGAUGUCGACCCUUGCUGUCUCACAAGCAGGCGCCACAAGAAACUGCAGAUCACAUCAGCUUGUGGGUUAAAAACCUCUUCGGUAAUAACUUCAAUGAGAACUUCAAUGAUUAUGGAAUGUUUCUAACCAGCUGCCUGUCCGAUCGGCAGCUAUCAUCAUUGCCAUUGGUAAAAGGAAGGAAUGCUGUAUUUUGUUUGAUGCUGACGAUCGCUGGGACGUUCGUACCCUUUGUCAUUGCAAUUUUCAAUAAAAUGAA